GCAAGUAUCAUGUCUUAAUAAAAUAGUCAGUUUCAGUUGUUGAUUGUUUCUGGAAUUUGAAUGCAGGCUCUUGUAUCUUCUUGGAAGAAUGGCGAUACAAUGCAUUACAUAUUUGAUACAGUAAUACUAUGGCCUUUUGUUUUCUAGCGGAUCAUAUGUGCUUCCUUUUAUUUAUUUAUUUAUUUUUAUAAAUCAAGUUACAUUCAAUUUUAGCCUUGAACAAUUCUUCCAUGGGAUUUUCAAUGAAUAGGAUUAUAAAAUAUAGAGGCAGAUUGAGCUUGCAAAAAUGUUGUUGGUGGAGGGACAAAGUCAUCUUUUUGUACAUUGGCCUGAACAAGGUGUUGAUGAUGAAGAAAAGAAAAGUUUCUUUGAUCAGGUAACUCGGAUUAAUUCAACCUAUCUAGGUGGUUUGGCAUCAUAUAUUCGAAAUGCUAGGAAUCUAUUAGCAGAUUCAAAAGCAGGGAAAAAUCCAUUUAAUGGCUUUACUCCUUGGGUAAGUGAAUCCAUUAAAUUUGUUUUGCAAUCUGUGUUUCUUGUACAUUUCUGCCAGAAAUUUGUUUUCAAUUUCACUUCUUUUUUUUAAUGAGAAAGAUUUGCUCUAUAGCUACGGUCA